AUUAUCGAUGUGGCAGCAGGCGCGGUAAGACAGGAGUGGCAAGCGUUAAACGGAGUUACGGGGCGUAAAGCGUGUGGAGGUGGCUAAUUAAGUCAAAUAUGAAAUCCCCGAGCUUAAGUUGGGAAUUGCAUUCGAUACUGGUUAGCUAGAGGAUGGGAGAGGAUGGUAGAAUUCCAGGUGUAGCGGUGAAAUGCGUAGAGAUCUGGAGGAAUACCGAUGGCGAAGGCAGCCAUCUGGCCUAAUACUGACACUGAGGUGCGAAAGCAUGGGGAGCAAACAGGAUUAGAUACCCGAGUAGUC
rnacentral:rRNA from 1 species